rnacentral:rRNA from 1 species
GACGAACGCUGGCGGCGUGCUUAACACAUGCAAGUCGAACGGUAAGGUCCUUCGGGGUACACGAGUGGCGAACGGGUGAGUAACACGUGGGUGAUCUGCCCUGCACUUCGGGAUAAGCCUGGGAACCCGGGUCUAAUACCGGAUAGGACUCCGGACUGCAUGGCCUGGGGUGGAAAGCUUUUGCGGUGUGGGAUGGGCCCGCGGCCUAUCAGCUUGUUGGUGGGGUGAUGGCCUACCAAGGCGACGACGGGUAGCCGGCCUGAGAGGGUGACCGGCCACACUGGGACUGAGAUACGGCCCAGACUCCUACGGGAGGCGGCAGUGGGGAAUAUUGCACAAUGGGCGCAAGCCUGAUGCAGCGACGCCGCGUGAGGGAUGACGGCCUUCGGGUUGUAAACCUCUUUCAGCAUCGACGAAGCGAAAGUGACGGUAGGUGCAGAAGAAGGACCGGCCAACUACGUGCCAGCCGCCGCGGUAA